UGCACGUUGAGACAAUUUGCAGAUGACGGUGUAGUGUCUGUCACAGGGCCCAAAGGGGUCGAAGUGCAAGGACCCUUACAAUUUGUCUAUUUGGGCUAUUCAGCUAGGUAUCGAAUUCUCCACGGAGAAAACUGGUUGGUCGUUUUUUCUAGGAAGCAUACCCCAGCACAACCAAAGCUUCAACUUUUGGGUAAUCCGAUCACUCAUUCUAUGUCCUUCAAAUAUCUUGGGGUCUGGUUCGAUUCUAAAUGCACCUGGAGGUCCCACAUAGAGUAUCUGAAGCGAUAAUGCCAACAAAGGAUCAAUUUUCUCCGUACACAUACCGGAACGUGGUGGGGAGCCCAAUUGCAAGAACAUCUAACGUUGUACCGGACAACGAUUUUAUCGGUUUUAAAGCACGGUAGUUUUUGCUUCCAGUCGGCGGCUAAAAAAUCUUCGACGUAUACACAAAUGCUACUGGCUCAGACGGCAUCCAAAUUUAGUUCAUCAAACUGCUAUGCACUUUCAUCUUACCGUCACUCGCCCAUAAUCGAUUCUCGAACAUUCCCAGCUAAUUGGAAGAUCGCCAUCAUCACACCUAUCCCUAAAACAUUCAGCCCUACUCUACCCAGGGAAUACCGUCCCGUAAGUGUUCUCCCAGUUGUUUCGAAGGUGUUGGAGAAGGUUCUACUCGAUCAGAUUACCGACCAUCUAAACAACCCUAACACUCGUCUCUUGGCACGCCAUCAAUCUGGAUACAGAAAAGGAUUUGAAAUCACGACGGCUCUGGCAAAAGUGGUUCACGACGUCUAUGACAAUCUCGACAAUGACCGCUGUACCUGUCAUUGUGUCAACCAUCGCCUAUUCGCGGUCAAGCUCAACAAGGAGUUCCGGUUCUUUUAAGCUGCUUGUGGAUUGGUCUCGUCAUUCCUCAGACAGAGGUCGUGGAAAUAUAACAUCGGCUAUGCGUAGAGUUACUGACGGCACUCCCCAACAUCAAUAGUUUGUCUGUCUCAAAUGCAACUAUCAGCUGUAUGCAGACGAUCUGCAGAUCUAUAUAUCGGGACCGAGAUGCCAAGAUUGACGCGAUCACACGUUGGGCCACCAGAAACUAUCUGCGCCUGAAUCGGAAGAAAACCCAAGUAAUCAUCUUUAGCAAGACUGGUACUGUGGUACCGCGAACGGAGAUUGUCUUCAGCGGAGAGGUUGUACCACUCUCCGACAAAGUAAUCAACCUCGGUCUUCAGAUGGACACAAAUAUGACCUGGGCUCGUAUGACAAAAAGUAUACAACACCAAAAGGACUUUCCGCCGCUUCGCAUCGGUCCUCUCUACAGCUACCCGCAGGGACCUGGUUCAAGCCGUGGUUGUGCCUAUAUUCACAUAUUGUGAUGUAGUGUACUGUGACGGGCUUUCUGCGGCACUGAAAGACAACCUUUACAACCUCCGGCGCCGUGAUACAACAGCUGCUGUCAGGAAUAACAUUGUCGGACACGACCUGCCAGCUAAUUACCUUCUCCCCAGCUGCUGCUUCAUUAAACGACCUCGCCUCAAUGUCACUCCCCAUAAGAUUUUACAUUGGUCUAUUUUUAAUAAAAUUUUAGUAAAAUGAGAUAUCAAUUUCAAUCAAACUUUUUCAUCAAAAAAUUUUGAUUUUUUGGCCCAAUGUCACCCUUAUUAACAGUAUUCGCAAUGUCAAACAAAAAUGAAAUAAGGACACCGGGGAACAUUGAAACGGUUUUUUCAAAGUUAAUCUUUGAGACUCACUGGAAAAAUCGUAAAAUAUCAUAAACCAGAUGUGCAUGCAUCAAAAGGUUCGUGCAAACUUCUUCUAUCAUGAAAAAAUCUUUAAUUAUAAAUAUGAAUGCAGAAAGCUACAUUUGUAUAAGUAUACAAUUAUGGUAUGAAUCAUUUAAUCUUACCUCAUACAGUGGGGUAAGUUGAAACACACAUAUUACAGCAGAUUAAUGGUAAACAAUCUCAUGCUUUUAACUUGCCUAUUCAUGUCCAAAAUAACCAACAAAGAAUAAAAACACUUGAUACAAGAUUUCCAAAUAAUUUCGCUAGGCAAGAGUUUGCAAAGAAAAACAAAAAUCUCGAAGCAAUCUAAACCAAACUCGGUUGCGCUGCGCGGAUCGCACCAACGCAUCCAAGCAUUAUUCUCAUAUUAUUAUUUUCAAUGCCGUCGUACCAUUUUUAAGUCGCAGUAAGAGCGCGCGCUGUUCAAGCGGCCGAGCCGCGAGAUUCAAAUAAAUUAAAUAAACAUUACUACUUUUUACUAGCAACUUUUACCAACACACACAUUUUUGCGCGCUCCGUCUCUAUCCAGCCCUAGCUAGCCAUGCACUCCGGCAGUCGACCGAUGAGGCAAUAAAAAAAAACAACAACGACGGCUCUUCCUGGGUUCUCGGUCGCUAGUUUUCGUCGGCGCUGUCAGCACUGCCAUCGUAGCAGGCCAGGGCAAGAAGAGCGAGUAGAAGACGAGUCGAGAAUCUCCAGUAGGCUGUUUUAAUGGGUGCGAAAUCUUCGGGGUCGGGCAAAAGGACCCGUGGCACGCGCGCAAGGACACAACAGCGAGCCACCCCAUUCCACUGGGCUAAGAAGAAGAAAGCCAACAUCUUAACCUCCACGGUCCUCCCGCCACCAUCGUCCCGUUUCGUUCCACACGCGCUUCAAGAAUUUAACUUCGUAUUCGUACGGACGGAGACAAUGCGUCGAUGCACUUUUAGUGGCAGAAACAUGGAAGAGAGCAGCAGGCGACGGCGACGGCGUCGUCGUGGAGGUCUUCCUUCCCAUUCUUGCCUACUGCGAUGCAUCCGACAACAUGCACGGCAUGCUGCGAUUCGUAUGCAUGUGUGUUGUUAUUUGUGUACGAAAUGCUUGCAUAUAUGAACUGACCAUCUCAUCAUCAUCUCCACACGUUUGCACUGUUUGCUUUGAUGUUGUUGAUAUUGUUGGUCGUGUUCUUGAACGCAUACACAUAUACACAUACAGCGGUUUUGCCUAGUCCGAGGAUAGUACGAAUAAUUUUGGACGGCUGGAGAAACCGGGGGCACCCCAACAGCAUGAAGAAGGUCCGGCUGUCCAGUUCGUACGUAUCCUUCUUAUGACGGGAUUACGAAUGCUCGCAUCAAGUAUAUCGAAUCAAUCCGAAGAGGGGAGCGAAGAUGUCGCAUGUUAGGCCUUGAAGACCUUCUUCUUCAUUUCGACACUGACCAUCGCACUGGACGGAACGGAACGUCCUUCACUACCUCACAUCAAUCCAAUCUCAAAGUUAAAAAAAAAUAAACAUCCGGAUCAACUACUAGAACAAGUGCUGAAAAAAACAUCAGCGAAGACAACGAAAUGGACACACCCGUUGACCGAUGGGAUGACCCACAGCAAGGAUGGACCAUUUCGUCGCCACUGAAACCAAAUAUCAAUAUCACACACGUGCAAUUUCUGUUUUCGGGUCGGUCACUCACUCUGCGAAUCAUCAUAUUCUUCGUCAUCUUGUCCGGAAUCCGGAAUGCCUGUAUUUCCACGGUCGAAUGUUUUGUGCGAGUCCUCGUCGCGCAAAAAUUACAGCUAGUUUUCAAAAAUAUUGUAAUUCUAAAUACUUGUAGGUUCUCGUCCUCUCCGUCCUCUGUCGCUCUGCACUCGGAUCGUCCCUCUGUUUUCCGCGACACACUCACAAGUUUGUCACCACAGAAAUUCACCGCAAAACUUUGUACGAAUCCUCAAGAAUAUUGUCUUGUGCCUCCGGAGCAGGAGGAACUACUCCAAAAACUACUAACUGUCCGAGAAUGUGAGACGCACAGCUUUUUCUGAAGUAAGUUGAUCGAUUUUCGCGAGCCGUCCGUCGGUCGUCGUUGUCCUCGCACACUAUGACCGCUCGCGGUACAUCUCAGCAGGCUGGCAAGCGAGGCAGGCGAGGUAGGCGAGGCAGCGACGGCGUGUGUAUGUUGUUUAAUAGAACUGCACUGCACUCUUUCUCUCGCGCUCGCUUCUGCCUUGCGACUGUUGUAGGUACCUACCUAGACUGGCUCUAAGCAAGCCGUGCGAAAACAUCCCCGCAACGCGAAAA